GAUGAAGAACGCAGCGAAAUGCGAUAAGUAAUGCGAAUUGCAGAAUUUCCGUGAAUCAUCGAAUCUUUGAACGCACAUUGCGCCUGCCAGCACUCUGGCAGGCAUGCCUGUUCGAGCGUCAUUUCAACCAUCAAGCCCUAGGCUUGCGUUGGAGCCCUGCGGCUGCCGCAGGCCCCUAAAAGCAGUGGCGGGCUCGCUAUCACACCGAGUGCAGUAGAUUACUCUUCGCUCAGGGCGUGUGGCGGGUUCCAGCCGUGAAACCCCCUACUUCUCAAGGUUGACCUCGGAUCAGGUAGGAAUACCCGCUGAACUUAAGCAUAUCAAAAGCGGAGGA
rnacentral:misc_RNA from 1 species